AAUUACCCAAUCCUGACACAGGGAGGUAGUGACAAGAAAUAACAAUACAGGGCUUAAAGUCUUGUAAUUGGAAUGAUGGGAAUCUAAACCCUUCCCAGAGUAUCAAUUGGAGGGCAAGUCUGGUGCCAGCAGCCGCGGUAAUUCCAGCUCCAAUAGCGUAUAUUAAAGUUGUUGCAGUUAAGAAGCUCGUAGUUGAAUUUCUGCCUUGUCAUUAAUCUCGCUUCCGAGCGUUUUUUUAUUGACUUGGCAUCUUCUGGAUUUGGUGCCUUCGGGUACUAUUUUCCAGGAUUUACUUUGAGAAAACUAGAGUGUUUCAAACAGGCAUUCGCCUUGAAUACUACAGCAUGGAAUAAUGAAGUAGGACUUUGGUUCUAUUUUGUUGGUUAUUGAGCCAGAGUAAUGGUUAAUAGGAGCAGUUGGGGGCAUUCGUAUUUAA
rnacentral:rRNA from 1 species